rnacentral:rRNA from 1 species
ACUGCUCAGUAACACGUGGACAACCUGCCCUAAGGUCUGGCAUAACUCCGGGAAACUGGGGAUAAUUCCAGAUGGACCAUAGAUACUGGAAUGUUCUGUGGUCAAAAGCUCCGGCGCCUUAGGAUGGAUCUGCGGCCUAUCAGGUAGUAGUGGGUGUAACGUACCUACUAGCCUACGACGGGUACGGGUUGUGAGAGCAAGAGCCCGGAGAUGGAUUCUGAGACAUGAAUCCAGGCCCUACGGGGCGCAGCAGGCGCGAAAACUUUACAAUGCGGGAAACCGCGAUAAGGGGACACUGAGUGCCAGCACCAUGUGUUGGCUGUCCGCAUGUAUAAAUCACAUGUGUCAGCAAGGGCCGGGCAAGACCGGUGCCAGCCGCCGCGGUAACACCGGCGGCCCGAGUGGUGGCCAUUAUUAUUGGGUCUAAAGGGUCCGUAGCCGGUUUGAUCAGUCUUCCGGGAAAUCUGACAGCUCAACUGUUAGGCUUCUGGGGGAUACUGUCAGACUUGGAACCGGGAGAGGUAAGAGGUACUACAGGGGUAGGAGUGAAAUCUUGUAAUCCUUGUGGGACCACCAGUGGCGAAGGCGUCUUACCAGAACGGGUUCGACGGUGAGGGACGAAAGCUGGGGGCACGAACCGGAUUAGAUACCCGGGUAGUCCCAGCCGUAAACGAUGCUCGCUAGGUGUCUGGGAUGGUGCGACCGUUUCAGGUGCCGCAGGGAAGCCGUGAAGCGAGCCACCUGGGAAGUACGGCCGCAAGGCUGAAACUUAAAGGAAUUGGCGGGGGAGCAC